rnacentral:rRNA from 1 species
UACAGAGGUCCCAAGCGUUGUUCGGAUUCACUGGGCGUAAAGGGUGCGUAGGUGGUGAGGUAAGUCGGAUGUGAAAUCUCCAGGCUCAACCUGGAAACUGCAUUGGAAACUACCUUGCUGGAGGAUUUGAGGGGGGAUUGGAAUACUUGGUGUAGCAGUGAAAUGCGUAGAUAUCAAGUGGAACACCAGUGGCGAAAGCAGCUCUCUGGGACGGUACUGACGCUGAGACGCGAAAGCGUGGGGAGCGAACAGG